UACGUAGGUGGCAAGCGUUGUUCGGAAUUAUUGGGCGUAAAGGGCGCGUAGGCGGUUUGUUAAGUCGGUCGUGAAAGCCCGGGGCUCAACCCCGGAGGGUCGACCGAUACUGGCAGACUAGAGUACAGAAGAGGUAACUGGAAUUCCCGGUGUAGCGGUGAAAUGCGUAGAUAUCGAGAGGAACACCAGUGGCGAAGGCGGCUCACUGGGCACCACCUGACGCUGAGGCGCGAAAGCGUGGGGAGCGAACCGG
rnacentral:rRNA from 1 species